GGAUUCCCUUAGUAGCGGCGAGCGAAACGGGAGGAGCCCAGCGCUGAAUCCUUCGUGAUGAAAUUUCACGUUUGGAAAUGUAGCGUUAAGGAGUGUCCAUCAACACGGCGUUUGCAGCUCGCUCAAGUCAACCUUGAACGGGGCCACACAGAGGGUGAUAUGCCCGUGUAGCAGCAUGCGGACGUCGUGUGGGCAUCUCCUCAGAGUCGGUCUGUUUGAAAAUGCAGACCUAAGUGGGUGGUAGACUCCAUCUAAGGCUAAAUAUGACCACAUGACCGAUAGCACACAAGUACCAUGAGGGAAAGGUGAAAAGAACUUUGAAGAGAGAGUUCAAGAGUACGUGAAACUGAGCUGAUAUAAGCGGACAGAAUCGAAAAGUGCGAAAGGAUCUGACUCAGGUGAUCCCUGGGGGAGUCUCUAUAGCUGCGGAAACAAAGUCAUGGAAACAGAGGGCUGAGACUUACCCCUUGGAGAAGCUGCACUUCUYYCUAGUAGCAUGUCGCGGCUCGUUGGGAGUCCGGUCCAAGGCCCGGGGUGGAGACUUCACGAUUCUGAGGAAGAGUGUUGACCCUUGGUGUCCUGGCCGGCGCCCGACGGUGUUGGAUUGGCGGGGCCCCAUUCCGCGCAUUAUGGCGCGGCAAGGUCCUGCCGGUCUGCGGCACUUCUGCUUUCGAUCCCUGACCGUCCCGUCUUGAAACACGGACCAAGGAGUCUAGCAUGUUGGCGAGUCAAUGGGCUUACUAAACCCAAAGGCGAAAUGAAAGUGAAGGAACGAGUCUGACUUGUUCUGAGGGGUGAUGGUCGUGCUUCCAUGCCGGCCCGCAACCCCGGGGCAUCAAUCCCUCAUUGAGGGGUGAUGUACCUUGAGCCUACAUGUUGGUACCCGAAAGAUGGUGAACUAUGCCUGGCCAGGGCGAAGCCAGGGGAAACCCUGGUGGAGGCCCGCAGCAAUUCUGACGUGCAAAUCGAUUGUCAGAGCUGGGUAUAGGGGCGAAAGACUAAUCGAACCAUCUAGUAGCUGGUUCCCCCUGAAGUUUCCCUCAGGAUAGCUGGCUUUUAUAUAAGUCUCAUCUGGUAAAGCGAAUGAUUAGAGGCAUUGGGGUCGAAACGAUCUCAACCUAUUCUCAAACUUUAAAUGGGUGAGAACUCAGACUUGCUUCGGUGAAGUCGUGAGUUCCUCGGAUUUUGAAAGCCAAGUGGGCCAAUUUUGGUAAGCAGAACUGGCGCUGUGGGAUGAACCAAAUGCGGAGUUAAAGCGCCUAAGACGACGCUGACAGGAUACCAUGAAAGGCGUUGGUCGCUUAAGACAGCAGGACGGUGGCCAUGGAAGUUGGAAUCCGCUAAGGAGUGUGUAACAACUCACCUGCCGAAGCAACUAGCCCUGAAAAUGGAUGGCGCUCAAGCGUCGCGCUUAUACUCCGCCGUCAGUGCAAAUGGCCUUCGGGUUCAGUGAAGCAUUGAUGAGUAAGGGGGUCGCGUGGGUGUGCGUAGAAGGGUCUGGGCGUGAGCCUGCCUGGAGCCGCCCACGGUGCAGAUCUUGGUGGUAGUAGCAAAUACUCUGGAGAGUCCUCGGAGGACGGAUGUGGGGAAGGGCUCCGCGACAACAGUGUUUGUUCGCGAGUUAGCCGAACCUAAGCCUAAAGAGAGAUCUUUAGUAAUGUUGAGCCUUCGGGUUCCAUUCGGGCGAAAGGGAAUCCUGUAAACAUUCAGGGGCCCCGGUCGGAACCGCAUCUCAGGUCCCAUAACCUGUCACGGCAACGUGAAUUGCCCCAGAGACGCCCUCGGGUGCUACCAGGAGAGUUUUCUUUUCUCUUUGAGCAUGCGUAAUCCAUGGAAUUCCUUAACGGAGAGAUAUGGACUGGCUUUGCGAAGAGCGCCGCAGUUGCUGCGGUGUUGGUAGUUACUCCUGGGACCUUGAAAAUCUGGGUGAGGGCCACGAGUGCCUCCG
rnacentral:rRNA from 1 species